CCCAGCCCUUCAAUCCCCAGUAUCCUCCCCAGAACCCAUCGCCCUGGUCCCUUUAUGGUGGAUCCCCCAGAGCCCAGCAUCCUGGGGAAUUUGGGGAGGGGAGGAGUUACCAGCCCCCAGUGACACUCCCCAUACAGGAAAAGCUCCAGGUGAGUAGGGGAGCCCAGCCCAAGGGCUGGUGGAAGAUGGGGGGUGGAGACAGGUGUGUAGACUGAAGAUGGAGCCUGGCCCAAGUGUCCUUCUCAUCUCCAUGGCAGGGGGAUCCCAGCUGCCAGGGGAAGGGACGGGGGGGGGGGGGAACUUCAGUCCGGCAGAGGGAGCGGCUGGAGAAGUUUCUCUCUCUCGCUUCCCCACCUGUGGCCCAUCAGCUCAGCAGCCAGGGCUGCAGCAGGGGGGAGGGGCUGAUCGAGGCUUCUCCUCCUUUGCCUGGGGUUUGCUUAGACCAGGCAGAGCCAGAGGGUCACUGACAGCUGAUGCUCGGCUGCUGCUGGGUCCUCGACCCAGCGACGGGCAGCUGGAUCCUUGGGAGCCAAACACCCCUGAUGUGUGUGGGAACGAGGAAAUGGGUUUGUCACCAUGGCCAGCCCUGCUCCAGUCAGGGCCCUGAGAGAAUUUUCCUGUUGUGUGGAGGAGUCUCUGACGUCCAACAUGGUGUUAGCGCCACUUGGAGCAUUUUCCACAUGAGAACAUCUCAGAGGUUUCUUCCCUGUGUGGAUUUGUGGGUGUUUGAUACUCCGGGAGCAUCAAAUGAAGCUUCCCCCACAUUCAAGGUCUCUCUGUUGUGUGGGUCACUGAAGCGUGAAGUCAAAUUGAAUCUUUUCCUAAAGUUAA